GACGAACGCUGGCGGCGUGCUUAACACAUGCAAGUCGAACGGAAAGGCCCCUUUGGGGGUACUCGAUUGGCUAACGGGUGAGUAACACGUGAGUGACCUGCCCUUCAUUUCGGUUGAACUUCCUGAAACUGGCGCUAAUACCGGAUAGGAAUCCUUGCUGCAUGGUGGGUGUUGGAAAGCUUUGGCGGUUUUGGAUGGACUCGCUGCCGUUCAGCUUGUUGGUGGGGUAGUGGCUUACCAAGGCUUUGACGGGUAGCCGGCCUGGGAGGGCGAACGGCCAAAUUGGGACUGAGAUACGGCCCAGACUCCUACGGGGGGGAGCAGUGGGGAAGAUUGCACAAUGGGCGGAAGCCUGAUGCAGCAAAGCCGCGUGCGGGAUGACGGGCUUCGGGUUGUAAACCGCUUUCAGCAGGGGAGAAGCUUGGGGUGACGGUACUUGCAGAAGAAGCACCGGCUAACUACGUG
rnacentral:rRNA from 1 species